rnacentral:rRNA from 1 species
GGGGAGCUUCGGUGUAGCAAUACAUCGGAGCUUCUAGUGGCGUACGGGUGAGUAACACGUGGGCAACUUGCCCUAGAGACCGGGAUACCCUCUCGAAAGGGAGGCUAAUACCGGAUACGUUCUUCGGGUCGCAAGAUCUGGAGAGGAAAGGUGGCGCAAGCUACCGCUCUUGGAGAGGCUCGCGGCCUAUCAGCUAGUUGGUGAGGUAAUGGCUCACCAAGGCUAUGACGGGUAGCUGGUCUGAGAGGACGACCAGCCACACGGGAACUGAGACACGGUCCCGACUCCUACGGGAGGCAGCAGUGGGGAAUUUUCCGCAAUGGGCGAAAGCCUGACGGAGUGACGCCGCGUGGGGGACGAAGGCCUUCGGGUUGUAAACCCCUGUCAGAGGGAAAGAAGGGUGUCGGCGUGAUAACCGCCGGCACUUGACGGUACCUUCAGAGGAAGCCCCGGCCAACUCUGUGCCAGCAGCCGCGGUAAGACAGAGGGGGCAAGCGUUGCUCGGAAUCACUGGGCGUAAAGGGCGCGUAGGCGGGAUGGCAAGUCGGUCGUGAAAUCUCUCGGCUCAACCGAGAAACGUCGGCCGAUACUGCCGUUCUUGAGGGAUGCAGAGGAGACUGGAAUUCCCGGUGUAGCGGUGAAAUGUGUAGAGAUCGGGAGGAACACCGGUGGCGAAGGCGGGUCUCUGGGCAUUUCCUGACGCUGAGGCGCGAAAGCGUGGGGAGCAAACGGGAUUAGAUACCCCGGUAGUCCACGCUGUAAACGAUGACGACUAG